UAUUGGAUCGAGCGGAACGGAACAGCUAAAAGAGCGAGAGGUCUCUUAACCUGCUGCAACUAGGAAGCUCAUACUACUUUGGACUUGCGUGCCUGCGAAGGAGGAUUAAUCGAGUUGAGUGUCGUUCGACAGACCGUUUGCGGUGAUCAUACGGAUCGCUCAUGUCGGAUUACUUCAUUGGGUACCAUGGCAAUGUCAGAUCUCGCAUGCUCUGACCACAUUUUAUGGGGCUUUUGAGGUUGCAGUAACAUCGAGAGUCCAGACCCAGUUACUGCCGACUUGCGGAUUAGGCCGCAAAAGAAGCACCAGGAAUUUCCUAAAAAUGCUAAAUUUAUGAUAGAUUCACAGAAAGCGAAAACGAGA